ACAUACGACCAUACCCACUGGACAACUCGGGAUCCCGUCCGCUCUCCCAUAGAUAAGCCAGUGAGGGCCGGAUUAGUAGUUGAGUCGGU
rnacentral:rRNA from 1 species